rnacentral:piRNA from 1 species
UGAUGAGCAGAUGUCUUUGCAGAAGUA